rnacentral:rRNA from 2 species
GUACGUACAAGCAGUGGGAGCACAGGUUUACCUGUGUGACUGCGUACCUUUUGUAUAAUGGGUCAGCGACUUAUAUUCUGUAGCAAGGUUAACCGUAUAGGGGAGCCGGAGGGAAACCGAGUCUUAACCGGGCGUUAAGUUGCAGGGUAUAGACCCGAAACCCGGUGAUCUAGCCAUGGGCAGGUUGAAGGUUGGGUAACACUAACUGGAGGACCGAACCGACUAAUGUUGAAAAA